rnacentral:piRNA from 1 species
UGCCCAGAUUCACCUAAUCAACCUCAA